GAGGGUAUAGCUCAGUGGUAUAGCGCCUGCUUAGCAUGCACAAGGUCCUGGUUUCAAUCCCUAGUUCCUCCU
rnacentral:tRNA from 1 species